rnacentral:rRNA from 1 species
UACGUAGGGCGCGAGCGUUGUCCGGAAUUAUUGGGCGUAAAGAGCUCGUAGGCGGCCUGUCGCGUCGGUUGUGAAAGCCCGGGGCUCAACCCCGGGACUGCAGUCGAUACGGGCAGGCUAGAGUUCGGUAGGGGAGAUCGGAAUUCCUGGUGUAGCGGUGAAAUGCGCAGAUAUCAGGAGGAACACCGGUGGCGAAGGCGGAUCUCUGGGCCGAUACUGACGCUGAGGAGCGAAAGCGUGGGGAGCGAACAGG